UGGGGAAUAUUGGGCAAUGGGCGCAAGCCUGACCCAGCAACGCCGCGUGAAGGAAGAAGGUCUUCGGAUUGUAAACUUCUUUGGUCAGGGACGAAAAGAAUGACGGUACCUGAAGAACAAGCCACGGCUAACUACGUGCCAGCAGCCGCGGUAAUACGUAGGUGGCAAGCGUUAUCCGGAUUUACUGGGUGUAAAGGGCGCGUAGGCGGUUUAUCAAGUCGGAUGUUGAAUCUCCGGGCUCAACCCGGAACAGUCAUCCGAAACUGGUAGACUUGAGUGUCGGAGAGGGAAGCGGAAUUCCUAGUGUAGCGGUAAAAUGCACAGAGAUUAGGAAGAACACCGGUGGCGAAGGCGGCUUUCUGGACGAUAACUGACGCUGAGGCGCGAAAGCGUGGGGAGCAAACAGG
rnacentral:rRNA from 1 species